CUUGCUCCUUAGCUCAGAGAAGGAAUGUUUCCUUUAUUUCAGGAUUCUGUUGUGGAACCAAUAGCAGUGACGUGGGUUGUUUUUUAAAAACACUUUUACAGGAACAAUAUUGUCAUCCACAAGAGUGUCUCUUCUAAGUAAGCUCAUUUGGAGGUUGUACAUUAUUUCAGUGUACAAAACCUAUUUUUGGGAUUUCCUAAAAUCAGUUACAUAUUCUUUGAAUAUCCUUAGUAUUGACAGAUUUCCAUCCUUAGAAAUUGGAUUUGGUAUUUAGAAACAGCUGAAAAAUAUUUUCUGUGGUAAAUAAAGGUAUAUAUAAAACAACGAGAUUGGUUUUCUUUCCUGGUUUGCCAACUAGCCCUAAAACCGCAGUAAACGGGGCUUGAUUUAUUUUCAUGUGUCUCUGAACUUCUCUGUUGACUCUUAUUUUAUUUAUAUCUGCUUAUCUGCUUUAUGGAGUCUGGAUAUUGGGUAGAUAAUGAAUGUUAUUUUUUUGUAGUUUCAAGUUAAAAACUUAUGACCACUGCUUUCCCAAUUAUCUUGUACUCUUAUUUGCAAAUAUUUUUAAACUACUCCUACACUUGCCCAUUGUUUUUAGGAUAAUUCAGUUGUGAACUGUUAGCUCAUUUAUUAUCUGUUUUAUGUGGGAAGUAUCCAAGUACAGUGAUCCAUACCCUGAAUAUUUUUUUAAAUUACAAUAUAAUUUACAAACCAUAAAUUUCACCCUUUUAAAGUAUACAGUGCAGUGGUUUUAAAUUUAUUCACAAGGUUGUGCAAACCUCACUCUCUAAUUCCAGAACACUUUCAUUACCCCCCAAAACAACCCAUACCCAUUAAUAGUCAUUUCCCAUUCCUCUUAUGCCCCGGCCCUUGGCAACCCCUAAUCUUUCUGUUUCUAUGGAUUUGCCUAUUUUGGACAUUUCAUAUAAAUAUAAUCAUGCAGUAUGUGACCUUUUGUGUCUGGUUUCUUAGCUUGUUUUGUGGACAUUGGUUUUCACUUCUCUUGGGUAUGUGCCUGGGAGUGCAGUUGCUGGGUUAUAUAAUAACUGUGUUUUAACUUUUUGAGGAACUGCCAAACUUUUCCAAAGUGGCUGCAGUGGUUUACAUUCUGAUCAGCAAUGUGAUUCAGUUUCUUCACACUCUUACUAAUGCUUGUUAAUUGUCUGUCUGUUUGAUUAUAGCUAUCCAAGUAGAUAGGUACGAUAUCUCAUUAUGAUUUUGAUUUGCAUGUCAUGACAAGUGACAUUGAUCAUCUUGUCAUAUGCUUGUUGACCAUUUGUAUAUCUUUUAUUUUUUUUAUUUUUACCGUUUUGUAUAUCUUGAGAGAAAUGUCUGUUCAGAUCCCUAGCCUAUUUUUUAAUUGAUUUAGUUGUCUUUUUAUUGUUGAGUUUAAGGGUUUUUUCUUUUUUUCUUUUUUAGUUUAGUUUUGAUAUUAGACCCACAUCAGUACAUAUAUAAUUUGCAUAUGUUUUUUCUCAUCAUGCCCUCAAUUUGAGAAUAAUUACAGAUCAGAAGAUAAACUGCAGUAUACAAACUUCACUUAAGUUGAUAAGUUUUUCAACUUUAAGUGGAAAGAUGUAUAAUGACACCAGUAUUACCAUAGGCUAAUUGAUAUAAACAAGAGUUAAGUUCCUGUGGCAUCUCAUCAACAUCCUAAUGAAAUGAUGUUGAAUGAAACAUUAUUCAGGGACCUGCUGUAUCUUGUGAGGUGAAUAAUGGAGAUAGUAGUAAAGUGAUUGGAAUGAACUAGAAUUACUCAGGAAAGGCUUUCUUAAACAUCCUUUUCUGUUAAUAAAAUCGCUAGUUAUUUGAUGGAGUUUAUAACAACUUUGCCAAAUUUUCUAAAUUCCUGCUUUUCUGUAGCGAGGGUUCAUGGAUCAAGUUCAUAGUGUGGUAAACCACAUUAUUCCAAUCUGUUCUAUGACUGAAUUUUGGAAAGGAAAUAAAGGUUUGGGUAGAGAAGGAUACCUUUAUGCUAUAAAGACGUUUUGUCUGAAUCUAUUCUCUUUUUAAGUUUGAAUAGGAGAGGACUGUAUACAAUAGCAGUAUUUUUAAAAUUUAAGAUUACAUUUUUGUUUGCAGUUAAUAAAACCCAAGUACCUGACAGAUUAUAUGUAUGGCAAAUUAUUAUAUGAUUUUAUUAUUAUAUGAUUUUAGUACUAAAUAUACUGCUUUCAAAAGACUUGAAUUUUGUUUUCAAUGAGUACAUGCAUAUAAUGAAGUUUUUAUUUAUUUUUCUUGUAUUUUUAUGCUAUUAAAGUUGUCCCCACUUUACCCCCUUUGCCCUCUUCCACCCUGCCCCUCCCUUAGAUAAUCCCCAUACCUUUGUCCAUGGGUCAUGCAUGUAUGUAUUUUUGGCAGAAGACUUGAAUUUUGUCAUAAGUCUUAGUUUCUCUGAUUUUUUAGUUGGUUAGAUUUGGUCUGUCACAUAGUGUCAGGUGUAGUGAUGUCUUAAGGAUGAAAUUGAGAAUCUUCGAGGUAGGUGGCAAAUUAGUCUAAGAGGUCUUUACUUAAUGGAUUGUCUCUGAGGGGCAAGUUAGGAAAGUUGUACAGUGAUGGUUGACACUUAAUGAUUUUUGUGUUGUUUUCAUUCCUUUGGUCUACUUGUUUAUGUAUAUGUAUAUAAAACAUCAGGGGGGCUGUAUAUGGCCUGCAAUACCUGAAAUAUUUACCAUCUCAUCUUUGUGGAAAAGGAUUGUCUAAUUCUCUUAAGAGGAGAAUACCCAAAUUUGAAUCCCAGCUUCUCUUUUUUUUUUGUAGCUAUUUGAGCUCAGUAUCUGACUCUGUAAAUG